rnacentral:rRNA from 1 species
CUCUUCGGGGAUGAUUAACCGGCGCACGAGUGAGUAACACGUGAGUGACCUGCCUUUUAGACUGGAACAACUUACCGAAAGGUGAGCUAAUGCCGGAUGAGUUAUAUAAGUGCAUGUUUAUAUAGGAAAAGUUGGGGAGACCUGACGCUGAAAGAUGGACUCGCGUCCCAUUAGCUAGUUGGUAGGGUAAUGGCCUACCAAGGCGACGAUGGGUAGCCGGCCUGAGAGGGUGGCCGGCCACACUGGGACUGAGACACGGCCCAGACUCCUACGGGAGGCAGCAGUGGGGAAUUUUGCGCAAUGCUCGUA